AAAGAGGUGACUGCUUCCUGUGGUACAGCCUCUGUCACCAAGACAGGGGUAUUCUGACUUUUUUCAACAAUUUACUUUGAAUAGAUAUAGUAAUGGGGACGUCCAGCCACAAAUUUCCUUUCAUUUGGAGCUCUGAAGGUAUCAAUGACAUCUUACCACCACAGGAGCCAGGAAGCAGUAGUGAUGUGGCUGUCACUGCACAAACUUGACCGUUGGUGUUCAUAUUUUUACUAUUUCAUUUGAGAUAUGAGCACUGUUGAUAAUUGCCAUGUGAAAUGUCUUCAAAAAGUUUUCCCAAUAAUUUGGCAUUGAAAUAAGGUUAUUGUGGACGCAGGCAUACAUGGAAAUAGAUCAGCAGGACACAUAUUUAUGUGAGUGAUGUACAUUUUGAUAUUAGACAAAGAACUACAGUUCCAUAUUUUCUUGCAAAGCAGCUACUGAAUACAUUACUGGAUCUAAGAAAGGAAUAUAUCCGCAAGUAGAUUAAGCUGUGUUACAUUUUGUUCCUGAGAUGCAUGAAAAAGGAUUACCCAUCACACACUAAGCAAAGCAAUUGAAGAAAGGAAAAAUUGCCAAAUCCCUUGGAACAGAUAGAAGAAGUUUCAAAGC
rnacentral:lncRNA from 1 species